GGCUCAGAUUGAACGCUGGCGGCAGGCCUAACACAUGCAAGUCGGACGGUAGCACAGAGGAGCUUGCUCCUCGGGUGACGAGUGGCGGACGGGUGAGUAAUGUCUGGGGAUCUGCCCGAUAGAGGGGGAUAACCACUGGAAACGGUGGCUAAUACCGCAUAACGUCGCAAGACCAAAGAGGGGGACCUUCGGGCCUCUCACUAUCGGAUGAACCCAGAUGGGAUUAGCUAGUAGGCGGGGUAACGGCCCACCUAGGCGACGAUCCCUAGCUGGUCUGAGAGGAUGACCAGCCACACUGGAACUGAGACACGGUCCAGACUCCUACGGGAGGCAGCAGUGGGGAAUAUUGCACAAUGGGCGCAAGCCUGAUGCAGCCAUGCCGCGUGUAUGAAGAAGGCCUUCGGGUUGUAAAGUACUUUCAGCGGGGAGGAAGGCGAUGAGGUUAAUAACNNNGUCGAUUGACGUUACCCGCAGAAGAAGCACCGGCUAACUCCGUGCCAGCAGCCGACGGUA
rnacentral:rRNA from 1 species